rnacentral:rRNA from 1 species
GCAAGCGUUGUUCGGAAUUACUGGGCGUAAAGGGCGCGUAGGCGGCCUUCUAAGUCGGACGUGAAAUCCCUCGGCUUAACCGAGGAACUGCGUCCGAUACUGAAAGGCUUGAAUCCGGGAGAGGGAUGUGGAAUUCCAGGUGUAGCGGUGAAAUGCGUAGAUAUCUGGAGGAACACCGGUGGCGAAGGCGGCAUCCUGGACCGGUAUUGACGCUGAGGCGCGAAAGCUAGGGGAGCAAACGGG